rnacentral:rRNA from 1 species
CCUACGGGAGGCUGCAGUGGGGAAUAUUGGACAAUGGGGGCAACCCUGAUCCAGCCAUGCCGCGUGGGUGAUGAAGGCCUUAGGGUUGUAAAGCCCUUUCGGCGGGGAAGCGGUACCCGCAGAAGAAGCCCCGGCUAACUUCGUGCCAGCAGCCGCGGGAAUACGAAGGGGGCUAGCGUUGCUCGGAAUCACUGGGCGUAAAGCGCACGUAGGCGGAUUGUUAAGUCAGGGGUGAAAUCCUGGAGCUCAACUCCAGAACUGCCUUUGAUACUGGCGAUCUCGAGUUCGGGAGAGGUGAGUGGAACUGCGAGUGUAGAGGUGAAAUUCGUAGAUAUUCGCAAGAACACCAGUGGCGAAGGCGGCUCACUGGCCCGUCUGACGCUGAGGUGCGAAAGCGUGGGGAGCAAACAGGAUUAGAUACCCGGGUAGUC